rnacentral:rRNA from 2 species
AAAUUGAAGAGUUUGAUCAUGGCUCAGAUUGAACGCUGGCGGCAGGCCUAACACAUGCAAGUCGAACGGUAACAGGAAGCAGCUUGCUGCUUCGCUGACGAGUGGCGGACGGGUGAGUAAUGUCUGGGAAACUGCCUGAUGGAGGGGGAUAACUACUGGAAACGGUGGCUAAUACCGCAUAACGUCGCAAGACCAAAGAGGGGGACCUUCGGGCCUCUUGCCAUCAGAUGUGCCCAGAUGGGAUUAGCUUGUUGGUGAGGUAACGGCUCACCAAGGCGACGAUCCCUAGCUGGUCUGAGAGGAUGACCAGCCACACUGGAACUGAGACACGGUCCAGACUCCUACGGGAGGCAGCAGUGGGGAAUAUUGCACAAUGGGCGCAAGCCUGAUGCAGCCAUGCCGCGUGUAUGAAGAAGGCCUUCGGGUUGUAAAGUACUUUCAGCGGGGAGGAAGGUGUUGUGGUUAAUAACCACAGCAAUUGACGUUACCCGCAGAAGAAGCACCGGCUAACUCCGUGCCAGCAGCCGCGGUAAUACGGAGGGUGCAAGCGUUAAUCGGAAUUACUGGGCGUAAAGCGCACGCAGGCGGUCUGUCAAGUCGGAUGUGAAAUCCCCGGGCUCAACCUGGGAACUGCAUUCGAAACUGGCAGGCUUGAGUCUUGUAGAGGGGGGUAGAAUUCCAGGUGUAGCGGUGAAAUGCGUAGAGAUCUGGAGGAAUACCGGUGGCGAAGGCGGCCCCCUGGACAAAGACUGACGCUCAGGUGCGAAAGCGUGGGGAGCAAACAGGAUUAGAUACCCUGGUAGUCCACGCCGUAAACGAUGUCUACUUGGAGGUUGUGCCCUUGAGGCGUGGCUUCCGGAGCUAACGCGUUAAGUAGACCGCCUGGGGAGUACGGCCGCAAGGUUAAAACUCAAAUGAAUUGACGGGGGCCCGCACAAGCGGUGGAGCAUGUGGUUUAAUUCGAUGCAACGCGAAGAACCUUACCUGGUCUUGACAUCCACAGAACUUUCCAGAGAUGGAUUGGUGCCUUCGGGAACUGUGAGACAGGUGCUGCAUGGCUGUCGUCAGCUCGUGUUGUGAAAUGUUGGGUUAAGUCCCGCAACGAGCGCAACCCUUAUCCUUUGUUGCCAGCGGUUAGGCCGGGAACUCAAAGGAGACUGCCAGUGAUAAACUGGAGGAAGGUGGGGAUGACGUCAAGUCAUCAUGGCCCUUACGACCAGGGCUACACACGUGCUACAAUGGCGCAUACAAAGAGAAGCGACCUCGCGAGAGCAAGCGGACCUCAUAAAAUGCGUCGUAGUCCGGAUUGGAGUCUGCAACUCGACUCCAUGAAGUCGGAAUCGCUAGUAAUCGUGGAUCAGAAUGCCACGGUGAAUACGUUCCCGGGCCUUGUACACACCGCCCGUCACACCAUGGGAGUGGGUUGCAAAAGAAGUAGGUAGCUUAACCUUCGGGAGGGCGCUUACCACUUUGUGAUUCAUGACUGGGGUGAAGUCGUAACAAGGUAACCGUAGGGGAACCUGCGGUUGGAUCACCUCCUUACCUUAAAGAAGC